AUUGAACGCUGGCGGCAUGCUUUACACAUGCAAGUCGAACGGCAGCACGGUGGCAACCCUGGUGGCGAGUGUCGAACGGGUGAGUAAUACAUCUGAACAUGCCCGGUCGUGGGGGAUAACGUAUCGAAAGAUACGCUAAUACCGCAUACGAUCUGAGGCUGAAAGCGGGGGACCUUCGGACCUCGCGCGAUCGGAGCGGCCGAUGUCAGAUUAGGUAGUUGGUGGGGUAAAGGCCUACCAAGCCGACUAUCUGUAGCUGGUCUGAGAGGACGACCAGCCACACUGGGACUGAAACAGGGCCCAGACUCCUGCGGGAGGCAGCAGUGGGGAAUUUUGGACAAUGGGCGCAAGCCUGAUCCAACCAUUCCGCGUGCAGGGCGAAGGCCUUCGGGUUGUAAUCUGCUUUUGUGUGGAGCGAAAAGGCUCUGGCUAAUACCUGGGGCUCAUGACGGUACCGUAAGAAUAAGCACCGGCUAACUACGUG
rnacentral:rRNA from 1 species